UGUUUGCCUGCUUUGUUGAUUUCCAGAAGGCUUUUGAUACUGUCAUUCUCCCAGGGAUAAAACUUAAGCUAUUGAAUAUAGUUAGAGAGUAUGGUAAGAGAUCUCUUUAGAACUAAAGUUGGAGUAAAACAGGGAGACAAUUUGAGUCCAAAUUUGUUUAAAAUUUUUAUAAAUGAACUUCCUGAUUGUGUUAAAAGUUCCCCUGAUCCAGCUGUUGUUUAUUCACGACCAGCCUAUUCUUUACUAUACAUAUGCUGAUGAUCUUGCCAUUUUUUCAACUUCAGCAAAAAAAUGUAGAUCAGGCUUAUCCUAAGAUUCUUUCAGAAAGACUACGCAUUGAAUUUUGUAAACAUUUACUUGGUGUUACCAAAAGAGAAACACAUUUUGCCAAUCUUUCUUAACUCGGUAGAUUCACUCUGUAUUUUGUCAUUGCAAAGUCUAUGAUCAGAUACUGGCACAGGCUUGACAAUUUGGGAUCAUCUUUCCACUACUAGAGGAGGCAUAUUUAGAGUCAAAAUUACUACACGAGUUAAAAAAAAUCCUUCACAGUAUGGAUCCUUAAACUUCUUUCUAAAGAAUAUUAAAGGGGUCAGCAAUUUACAUUGUUUACUAUAUGCUGAUGAUAAUGUAUUUUUUUUUGAAUUUCAGCAAAAGGACUUCAGCAAACAGUAUUCAUACAUAGCUUGUAGCCAGGAUAAUAUUUAAAAGAUAGAUCUUUAUGCUUCAACUCAGCGUGCUGGUCUUUUAAAUCUGAGUACAUUCAUACAAUAUAAACAUAUAACAUAAAUAUUAUUUUCAACCUGCAUAUGUAUGUGAUAGUUGCCGCAGUACAUUUAGUUCUACCUUGUAAUAUUAUCUUAGCUACAAGGCUGGCUAUAAACUACUAAUAUUUGAUCUUACUCUUAAAUUCAAAGCGUGUAUCAUUGUAAAAUAUAUACCUGCAUAUAUGUAUGUAAUAUUUGCCGCAGUACAUUUAGUUCUACCUUGUAAUAUUAUCCUGGCUACAAGCCUGUCUACAAACUACUGAUAUUUGAUCUUACUCUUAAAUUCAACGCGUGUAGCAUUGUAAAAUAUCUCAACCUUAUUCAUACUUUCUAGGUUAACACAAUGUUCAUUGCGACACCAUGGAUUAAGUUUUUAUUCUGAACCAAUACUUAGAACAAUUAUCAAUGAUAUACCGCAAGAUCGUCAUGCAAUCGAUAAAAAAAUAAAGACAACACGAUAAAAACACCAGGCAUUUGUGGAUUUUCAUUAAUCAUGAUUCACCAAAAGCCGAAUAUUUGAAAGCCAAUGGUUUAUAAAAACUGCAAUAGCUGAUUAAAAAUUAAAGAAGAUUGUUCAAAAUUGUACGUUCAAUAAUUUCAUCUGCCGACAUGAUUGCAGGAAAUAAAAAGUCGUAAAUAAAAAAAAAAAUCUGAAAGCAAAUAUUCAACAAUUUUAUGCCUUAACGUACAGUAAAAAUAUAU
rnacentral:lncRNA from 1 species